UAACAUUUGUAUCAAAUUUGUGAAUAAAACACAUCUUUGUUAAGUACACUGCAUUAAUGAUGCAAGAGGGGAGAGGAAACUGUCCACCUGCAAUUCUCAUAGCAUGUAUUCUAAAGAUAACAUUAAACAUUUGAUACUGAAACAGGAAACAGGAACAGAUAACAUAACUAAGAUUCUGGUAAGCAGUUAAACAACCAGUUGUCAAAAUGUUAAAAGUUCCACUUGCUCGAGAAGCUGACAAUUGCUGGAAUCCUCUGAAAAUGUAAUGUUAUAUCAGGACUGACAGAAGCCUACCAAUGGUAUCUGGACCUCCGUCGAUUUGGAUCUGUGCCACAUGGAGGUUUUGGGAUGGGAUUUGAACGCUAUCUGCAGUGCAUCUUGGGAAUUGACAAUAUCAAAGAUGUUAUCCCUUUUCCAAGAUUUACUCAUUCAUGUCUUUUAUAGCUGGAAGACUGGUUGAGGAAGAUCACUCCAUGCCGGAGGUGUUGCACAUGAGUGUCCACACAGGAGAGUGAAUGUUUGAAUUUUAGAAAUGCAGAAGUUUUCACAUGUAAUUGUCAUGCUGUAAGAUAUAAUAUAUGAAAAAUAGAAAUGAUCAUGAUUUUCUUAGAAAGUUGAGAGCAGGGGCCAGCCCCAUGGCUGAGCGGUAAGUUUGUACGCUCCGCUUCGGCAGCUCAGGGUUUCUCUGGUUCAGAUCCUGGGCACGGACGUGGCGCUGCUCAUCAGGCCAUGCUGAGGCAGCAUCCCACACAGCACAACCAGAAGGACCUACAACUAGAGUAUACAACUAUGUACUGGGGGCUUUGGGGAGAGGAAGAAGAAAAAAAACAAAGUUGAAAGCAUUUCAUGGAAAGAUGAACUCCUUCAAGAAGAAGUACUUACAGCAGGUAGAAUCUCAACUCUAUUAUGUCAGUUAAGAAGAAAUGAAGCAGUUGAACUAGAUGGUCCCAAAGUUCCUUUCAAACUUGAAGACAGUGAGAGACAAUGUAUUUUACUUUGUCUUUAAUUAUUGGAUCCUGCCCUGUGUGACCUUGAGAAACAACUAGUAGCUAAAAAUAAAAUGUUGUUGGAUAUUUUCUCCCCUGCAUUUAACCUGUGAUAAAUGCCCAUCUUAUUCUCAGUGUUUUACUAAACAUUACAGAAGAAAAUAUUCCUUUUUUGGGGCCUUAACUGAGUUAAUAAAGUUGCUAUUCUGAAUUGAAAUCUUCUUUCAUCAGACUGGAUGAAAAAAAUCACAUUUAAUAACUGUUGAUCCUUAAUUAUAAAAGGUAACAAGUGUAUUAAUUAUUUAAACUAAUCAAUGUUGUGUUAUAAUUCAUAUUAGAUG
rnacentral:lncRNA from 1 species